rnacentral:tRNA from 1 species
GCUACUUUGGCGGAUCAGCGCGUGAGGCUUAGGACCUUAAUAGGGGUUUUCCAAGUAGUA